rnacentral:ncRNA from 2 species
AUCGAGCGAAGCAACGUUAGUAACGCUUCGUAAGAGGGAACCCGGUGAGAAUCCGGGACUGUCCCGCAACGGUAUGCAGGAACGACCGCCGUCACCAGCACUGGUCGCAAGACUGGGAAGCGACGGCCACUAGGAACUGCCCGGCUCCUCGGCGGCCCUUCGGGACCGCAUCGUCGGCCGGGCACGCACCACCCGGUGCGCGCCUGCGAGUCCGGAGACCUGCCAGCUGUGCCGGGCGCGC